UUGUCCCCCCCCCCUCCUCGGACCCGCUCGAAUUCGUGGCCCCGAUUUGUCGGGCCAGGAGCGGAAAGAUCGCCGUAACCGUCUACGAUUCUGUCGUAAAGCCUCGCCUACAAUAGUCGCGCAGGCUGCGCGUGUCGCAUGUCAAAACGGAAGCUGAGGACGAUCUUAUUGUUACUGCAGACAAGAAGAUAAUAGCCUUCGCCCGCGCAAACCCCCCGUUGCGGCGGAAGCGUAUUAAAAUUGAUGAAAAGGACAGGAAUAUCAUCGAUCGAGCGUUUUCACUGAGCAAACGGCAACAUAAAGACAGUAAAUUAAAGAAUUGGGAGCAAAGUUGUAGAAAGAUUAAUGCGUGGCUGCGAUCGAUUUAACGCUAUCGCGAAUCUUCGCGGCUAUUGUAGACGCUCCGUUCAGCGGCAAACUUUCCUGCGACACGUGACGCAGCCUGUGCGAUUAUUACAGACGAGGCUUCGGGACUCGAGUCGGUAGUCCACGCACAAAGAAUUGUCGCAUUCGUCGCGUGGCAAGGCGGAGAAAAAUUCGCGAGUCGUGAAAGUCUACCGUACCACUUCUUCUCCGCCUCUUGCCUCGCGCGGCGCCCGCGAUGAGAUUUCGAGACGCGCGAUUUAGAAAAUUGGCCAAUUACAGUCGAGUGUCCUCGCAUUAGACUACGAUUGAAAUCUCUCGCGCCUUAAAAAGUCUCAUCGUAGACGCCGCGCCACGUCCACGACUUGGGACAGUCUCGAGAGUUUACGGAUCGUUGCCUGCCACCGGGCCAGAGACGCGGCACGUGGAGGUAGAAAAAAAAACAAACAAACAAGCAAGCAAGCACGACUCGGAAUGACGAUUUGUAAUUGUAUUAAUUUUAUUGCGUUAUUAUACAUAUGCACACAUACAUGCACAUCGGUGAUGUCAGGAAAGGUGUAUGUGUGUUUGUUGUGUGUGUAUAUGUGUAUGUCGCGCACGUGUCCCGUCACGCGUAUCGAUCUCUCACGCACACGCGUACGCGCGCGCCAUGCCGUGUGCGCGCACGUAUCUCGCUCACGUAUGUACGUAUAUGUAUAAUAAUAGCGGCAUACGUAGCUCGUGACACGUAUGGUAUCAACACUGUACAGCGUGUAUAAUCCGUCUACCAGUAUCGUCCAAGUCCCGACCCUUUGUUGUGCUCGUGUACGUCCGACUAAUAGAAAAAUAAACGUUUCAGAUAGAACGCGCCGUACGCUCGCUUCUCGCGAAAGGUGCGAAAAAUAAA